rnacentral:rRNA from 1 species
GACCAACGCUGGCGGCGUGCUUAACACAUGCAAGUCGAACGGAAAGGCCCUGCUUUUGUGGGGUGCUCGAGUGGCGAACGGGUGAGUAACACGUGAGUAACCUGCCCUUGACUUUGGGAUAACUUCAGGAAACUGGGGCUAAUACCGGAUAGGAGCUCCCGCUGCAUGGUGGGGGUUGGAAAGUUUCGGCGGUUGGGGAUGGACUCGCGGCUUAUCAGCUUGUUGGUGGGGUAGUGGCUUACCAAGGCUUUGACGGGUAGCCGGCCUGAGAGGGUGACCGGCCACAUUGGGACUGAGAUACGGCCCAGACUCCUACGGGAGGCAGCAGUGGGGAAUAUUGCACAAUGGGCGGAAGCCUGAUGCAGCAACGCCGCGUGCGGGAUGACGGCCUUCGGGUUGUAAACCGCUUUCGCCUGUGACGAAGCGUGAGUGACGGUAAUGGGUAAAGAAGCACCGGCUAACUACGUG